rnacentral:rRNA from 1 species
AUACGUAGGGUGCAAGCGUUAAUCGGAAUUACUGGGCGUAAAGCGUGCGCAGGCGGUUUUGUAAGACAGAGGUGAAAUUCCCGGGCGCAACCUGGGAACUGCAUUUGUGACUGCAAGGCUAGAGUACGGUAGCGGGGGAGGGAAUUCCGCGUUUAGACGAGAAAUGAGUAGAUAUGCGGAGGAACAACGAUGGCGAAGGCAAUCCCCUGGGCCUGUACUGACGCUCAUGCACGAAAGCGUGGGGAGCAAACAGGAUUAGAUACCCUGGUAGUCCACGCCCUAAACGAUGUCAACUGGUUGUUGGGUCUUCAUUGACCCAGUAACGAAGCUAACGCGUGAAGUUGACCGCCUGGGGAGUACGGCCGCAAGGUUGAAACGGAAGGGGGUUGAAGGGG